rnacentral:rRNA from 1 species
ACUCCUACGGGAGGCAGCAGUGGGGAAUAUUGCACAAUGGGGGAAACCCUGAUGCAGCGAACGCCGCCUGAGGGGAUGAAGUAUUUCGGUAUGGAAAAGCUCUAUGCAGCAGAGAAGAAAAUGACG